UACGAGGGGGGCAAAUGUUGUUCGGAAUCACUGGGCGUAAAGGGCGCGUAGGUGGCCCGGUCAGCGUGCGGUGAAAGCUCGGGGCUCAACCCCGAGUCGGCCGUGCGAACUGCUGGGCUUGAGCACUGUAGAGGCAGGCGGAAUUCCGGGUGUAGCGGUGGAAUGCGUAGAGAUCCGGAAGAACACCGGUGGCGAAGGCGGCCUGCUGGGCAGUGGCUGGACACUGAGGCGCGGACGAGCGUGGGGAG
rnacentral:rRNA from 1 species